UGUUCUCAACUGAUAUGUUUGGACGCCCUAAAGCAAACCCUGCACGUAUUUAAACCCAAGUCUUUUACAACCCCCUAAAGAUCAAACUAGCAGCACAUCAUGUGAAUUAGGGACACAGAUUCUCAUGUCCUCUGUGUUAGCCAGACCCUUUGCUCUCAGAAAGGUGUUGACUGAAAGGUAGUGUUGACUGAAAGGUAGUGUUGACUGAAAGGUAGUGUUGACUGAAAGGUAGUGUUGACUGAAAGGUAGUGUUGACUGAAGGGUAGUGUUGACUGAAAGGUAGUGUUGACUGAAAGGUAGUGUUGACUGAAAGGUAGUGUUGACUGAA
ensembl:lncRNA